rnacentral:rRNA from 1 species
AAGGGCGGGGGGGGUAAAAUAUGCAAGUCGAGCGACAGAUAGGAGCGUUGCUCGUUUGACGUUGCGGCGGAGGAGGGGCUCUGGGUACCUACCAUAGACUGGGAUAAAAGGGCCGAAAGCUAUCCGGAUAACAUUUGGAACCGCAUGGUUCUAAGUGAAAGAUGGUUUUGCUAUCACUUUAGAUGGAACCGCGCCGUAUUAGCUAGUUGGUAAGGUAACGGCUUACCAAGGCGACGAUACGUAGCCGACCUGAGAGGGUGAUCGGCCACACUGGAACUGAGACACGGUCCAGACUCCUACGGGAGGCAGCAGUAGGGAAUCUUCCGCAAUGGGCGAAAGCCUUGACGGAGCAACGCCGCGUGAGUGAUGAAGGGUUUCGGCUCGUAAAACUCUGUUAUUAGGGAAGAACAAACGUGUAAGUAACAGAGCACGUCUUGACGGUACCUAAUCAGAAAGCCACGGCUAACUACGUGCCAGCAGCCGCGGUAAUACGUAGGUGGCAAGCGUUAUCCGGAAUUAUUGGGCGUAAAGCGCGCGUAGGCGGUUUCUUAAGUCUGAUGUGAAAGCCCACGGCUCAACCGUGGAGGGUCAUUGGAAACUGGGAAACUUGAGUGCAGAAGAGGAAAGUGGAAUUCCAUGUGUAGCGGUGAAAUGCGCAGAGAUAUGGAGGAACACCAGUUGGCGAAGGCGACUUUCUGGUCUGUAACUGACGCUGAUGUGCGAAAGCGUGGGGGAUCAAACAGGAUUAGAUACCCUGGGUAGUCCACGCCGUAAACGAUGAGUGCUAAGUGUUAGGGGGGUUUUCCGCCCCUUAGUGCUGCAGCUUACGCAUUAAGCACCUCCGCCCUGGGGAGUACGACCGCAAGGGUUUGAAACUUCAAAAGAAUUGACGGGGACCCGCACAAGGCGGUGUAGCAUGGUGGGUUUUAAUUUCGAAGACGCCAACACCGCCCGAUAAGGGAC